AUUGAACGCUGGCGGCAGGCCUAACACAUGCAAGUCGAGCGAGCGGCGGACGUGAGAGUAAUGUAUGGGGCUCUGCCCGAUAGAGGGGGAUAACUAACGGAAACUGUGGCUAAUAACGCACACUAUUGGAUGAACCCAUAUGGGAUUAGCUAGUAGGUGGGGUAAAGGCGCACCUAGGCGACGAUCUCUAGCUGGUCUGAGAGGAUGAUCAGCCACACUGGAACUGAGACACGGCCCAGACUCCUACGGGAGGCAGCAGUGGGGAAUAUUGCACAAUGGGCGCAAGCCUGAUGCAGCCAUGCCGCGUGUAUGAAGAAGGCCUUAGGGUUGUAAAGUACUUUCAGCGGGGAGGCGUUACCCGCAGAAGAAGCACCGGCUAACUCCGUGCCAGCAGCCGCGGUAAUUC
rnacentral:rRNA from 1 species